rnacentral:rRNA from 1 species
UAAUGCGUCGGAAUGUACCGUGUAAUGGGGGAUAGCUCGGCGAAAGCCGGAUUAAUACCGCAUACGCCCUGAGGGGGAAAGCGGGGGAUCGAAAGACCUCGCGUUAUACGAGCAGCCGACGUCUGAUUAGCUAGUUGGUGAGGUAAGAACUCACCAAGGCGACGAUCAGUAGCGGGUCUGAGAGGAUGAUCCGCCACACUGGGACUGAGACACGGCCCAGACUCCUACGGGAGGCAGCAGUGGGGAAUUUUUGGACAAGGUGGGGGCAACCCUGAUCCAGCCAUGCCGCGUGUCUGAAGAAGGCCUUCGGGUUGUAAAGGACUUUUGUCAGGGAGGAAAUCCCGCUGGUUAAUACCCGGCGGGGAUGACAGUAC